AUUGAACGCUGGCGGCAUGCUUUACACAUGCAAGUCGAACGGUAACAGGCCUUCGGGUCCUGUCGUGUGUCGCCCGGGGGCGUAUUGCUUCGAAGCGUAUCCCGAGUUGGGGGGUAACGCAGCGAAAGCGGAGCGCAUACCGCAUAUGAUCUGAGAGUGAAAGCGGGGGGGCUCGCAGGAAUGUUUGGCCUCGCGUGUUUGUAGUAGCGGAGGUCGGGUUGGCUAGUUGGUGGGGUAAAGGCCUACCAAGGCGACGAUCCGUAGCUGGUCUGAGAGGACGACCAGCCACACUGGAACUGAGACACGGCCCAGACUCCUACGGGAGGCAGCAGUGGGGAAUUUUGGACAAUGGGCGCAAGCCUGAUCCAGCAAUGCCGCGUGCGUGAAGAAGGUCUUCGGAUUGUAAAACUCUUUUAGCAGGAACGAAACGAUGUCCGCUAAUACCGGGCGGUAUUGACGGUACCUACAGAAUAAGCACCGGCUAACUACGUG
rnacentral:rRNA from 1 species